CAAUACUUCUGAGCUGAUUCACAAGGAGUAUUGAUGACAAACUCCCCAGUGUUUGAAUCAUAAACGGUCACAGUUUCAAUUCCUCGGACAUUACUUCCAUGCCCCAAUUCUGACAUAGCAAAGCAACCCUUAAUUGCAAAAGUUUCAGUGUCUUUUAGCCACUUGUCAUGAUGGCGCUUUGUGCCAAAGAAUUGGAUAGCACCACCCCACAAAAAGAAGUGAA
rnacentral:misc_RNA from 1 species